rnacentral:misc_RNA from 1 species
UUGCACGCAGGAGGUCUGCGGUUCGAUCCCGCAUAGCUCCACCAUCUUUAUGCGAACACAAGAAAACUUCAGAGUGAACCUGAAAAGGUGCACUGCGAAGUUUUGCUCUUAAAAAUCUGGAUCAAGCUGAAAAUUGAAACGACACACAGUCAAUGUGUGUUCGAGUCUCUCAAAUUUUCGCAAUCAGAAGUGAAACAUCUUCGGAA